rnacentral:rRNA from 1 species
AUACGGGGGGUGCAAGCGUUAAUCUGAAUUACUGGGCGUAAAGCGCGCGUAGGCGGUUAAAUAAGUUGGAUGUGAAAUCCCCGGGCUCAACCUGGGAACUGCAUUCAAAACUGUUUAACUAGAGUAUGGUAGAGGGAAGUGGAAUUCCAGGUGUAGCGGUGAAAUGCGUAGAUAUCUGGAGGAACAUCAGUGGCGAAGGCGACUUCCUGGAUCAAUACUGACGCUGAGGUGCGAAAGCGUGGGGAGCAAACAGGAUUAGAUACCCCAGUAGUCC